AAUACGUUCCCGGGCCUUGUACACACCGCCCGUCACACCACGAAAGUCGGCAACACCCGAAGCCGGUGGCUAACCCGUAAGGGAGGAGCCGUCGAAGGUGGGGUCGGUGAUUGGGGUG
rnacentral:rRNA from 1 species